rnacentral:tRNA from 1 species
CUAAUAUGGCAGAUUAGUGCAAUGAAUUUAAGCUUCAUAUAUAAAGAUUUUCUUUUAUUAGAAA